AGCCAUCAUUUAAAGAAAGCGUAAUAGCUCACUGGUCGAGUCGGCCUGCGCGGAAGAUGUAACGGGGCUAAACCAUGCACCGAAGCUGCGGCAGCGACACUAUGUGUUGUUGGGUAGGGGAGCGUUCUGUAAGCCUGUGAAGGUGUACUGUGAGGUAUGCUGGAGGUAUCAGAAGUGCGAAUGCUGACAUAAGUAACGAUAAAGCGGGUGAAAAGCCCGCUCGCCGGAAGACCAAGGGUUCCUGUCCAACGUUA
rnacentral:rRNA from 1 species